GGCCUUGUAGUGAAGUUCAUGUUGAGUUGCAAGCUCAUCGAUAUGUGCUUAAGGCA
rnacentral:tRNA from 1 species